GAUGAACGCUGGCGGCGUGCCUAAUACAUGCAAGUCGAGCGAACAGACGAGGAGCUUUCUCCUCUGACUUUAGCGGCGGACGGGUGAGUAACACGUGGAUAACCUACCUAUAAGACUGGGGUAACUUCCGGCAACCGGAGCUAAUACCGGAUAACAUGUUGAACCGCAUGGUUUAACAGUGAAAGACGGUCUUGCUGUCACUUAUAGCUUGAUCCGCGCCGCAUUAUAUAGUUGGUAAGGUAACGGCUUACCAAGGCAACGAUGCGUAGCCGACCUGAGUGGGGGGUCGGCCACACUGGAACUGAAACACGAUCCAGACUCCUACGGGAGGCAGCGGUAGGGAAUCGUCCGCAAUGGGCGAAAGCCUGACGGGACAACGCCGAGUGAGUGAAAAAGGUCUUCGGAUCGUAAAACUCUGUUAUUAGGGAAGAACAAAUGUGUAAGUAACUAGGCACGUCUUGACGGUACCUAAUCAGAAAGCCACGGCUAACUACGUG
rnacentral:rRNA from 1 species